rnacentral:rRNA from 1 species
CCUACGGGGGGCUGCAGUGGGGAAUAUUGGACAAUGGGGGCAACCCUGAUCCAGCCAUGCCGCGUGUGUGAAGAAGGCCCUCGGGUUGUAAAGCACUUUCAGUGAGGAAGAACGCCUGGUGGUUAAUACCCAUCAGGAAAGACAUCACUCACAGAAGAAGCACCGGCUAACUCCGUGCCAGCAGCCGCGGUAAUACGGAGGGUGCGAGCGUUAAUCGGAAUUACUGGGCGUAAAGCGCGCGUAGGUGGCUUGAUAAGCCGGUUGUGAAAGCCCCGGGCUCAACCUGGGAACGGCAUCCGGAACUGUCAAGCUAGAGUGCAGGAGAGGAAGGUAGAAUUCCCGGUGUAGCGGUGAAAUGCGUAGAGAUCGGGAGGAAUACCAGUGGCGAAGGCGGUCUUCUGGACUGACACUGACACUGAGGUGCGAAAGCGUGGGUAGCAAACAGGAUUAGAUACCCUUGUAGUC